CUUGUCUUCUCCAGCUCUGCUGCUUUUUUUUUUUUUUUUUUUUUUAAAGGUUUCUUGUCCUUUUUUAAGAAAACUAUUUCAUUUGUUUCUGCUUCUCUUCCUACUUUCCCCCCUCCCCUAACAAAACUUUCCUUUUUGCAUCUUCUUACUUGUUUCCAGUCUGUCUGUUGGACAAGACAACCAAGUGCAUAGCGCAACCUUAAUAAAGGACCAUUCGUUUUCCUGUUUCACUUUCUCUGGAAUUCCCUUCGAAGAGAGAAGAGGAGAAAAGAAGAGUCCCUGAAUGUAUUUACCAGCUGUUUUUACUUUUCUGUCUUCUUAGUUAUUUUUUAUUUUAUUUUGGUUUAAAGUUAUGCAAAGCUGUUGCAAGACGGAGAUUUUACCUAGGUAACCAAGACAGAGAUGGGAAGUUCUUUGGAAGAAGAUACAUGUCUUCUAGAGGGUUUGGACAGUGCUUAGAGUUUAAUAACUUGAAUCUUCACAUCCCCAUAAUAUAAAUUAUUCCUUUCAGACAUACUAACAUGCAAGAACAGCAGUAUGCUAGAAAUACUAUGUUUGAACAAGCAAUCUUUCUUUCUGUACUAUUAUUUGUCCAUACUUUACAAUAAGCCUCAGCCUGAUUACCAUAUCCAGUGUAAGGCUGUUAACAAGUCAAGAUUAUUUUUCCCCUAUAUAGGUUAAGGGGAAGUAGCAGCUUAACACCUCCUUUUGUUGCCAAAGAUCUUUAAAAGGGACAAGUAUGUAGAAGAAAAUUGCCCACGGGCAUUCCUUGCAUCUUGUAGAUUCAGAGGUUCAGCGUCAGAAGGGACUACACUGAUUAUCUUGUUUGAUCUACCUUAUAAAAGGGCAUAAAAGCCCAAACAGUUGAGCUACAGAGUAUGAUUUAGAGAAAUUCAUAUUUGUUUAAAGACCUUCAAAUGAUGGAGAAUUUGCCAUAUCCUUCAGUAAGUUGUUCCCACAGUUUAAUGUUACAAAUUGUAUUGGCUACUUUGUUACAGACUAAAAUUAAAAUGAGUAAAAAAAAAUAGCCUCAACUUCUGAAAUGGUUUGGAUAGGGAAAUCAGCAAGCAAAUGAAAAUUUCAGCCCACAGCAGCCCAGAUAAACACUGAUUGUAAAGUUUCACACCUGCUAUGUAUGACUUCAUCACCACAAAUGUACCAGGUAUGCUUCUCUAAAAGGUGUGCCAUAAACUUGCCUGCACUUUGAGUGAAUUAAGAAUGAUCCAUGGGUUCUGUUGUCCUUCAUUCCACCGGAGUCUGUCUCAUACCUAACCAGAUUUCAGUGGCGUGAAGCACAAGAGACAUGGAGCUGAACCAGCAACAAGAGGAACUACUUCCCACUGACACAAAGGAGGGAAACAGUCUUCAUGGAAAUUUGGAUACACCAAGCAUCCAAACAGAUAUCAAGCAUGCUGAGAAAUGGAGAGAAGCAGUACACCGAGCAUUUUAAUAACCCGAGUAUUUCUUGAAAAUCUCCAAUAGGGACCCAUUUAAAAAAAAUGUACUUUCUGCAUAAUACUUAAAAGAUUAAGAAGUCUACAAAGACCACAAGCUGCUUUCUUCAAAGCUCAAAUACCUUAUUAGCACGAAAUUAAAUCCUGAAGUGGAUAAGUUA